GUCCACGCCCUAAACGAUGUCAACUGGUUGUUGGUGGGGUUAAACCCAUUAGUAACGAAGCUAACGCGUGAAGUUGACCGCCUGGGGAGUACGGCCGCAAGGUUAAAACUCAAAGGAAUUGACGGGGACCCGCACAAGCGGUGGAUGAUGUGGAUUAAUUCGAUGCAACGCGAAGAACCUUACCUACCCUUGACAUGUACGGAAGCCCGCUGAGAGGUGGGUGUGCCCGAAAGGGAGCCGUAACACAGGUGCUGCAUGGCUGUCGU
rnacentral:rRNA from 1 species